rnacentral:rRNA from 1 species
CAGUAGCCGCGGGAAUACGGAGGGUGCAAGCGUUAAUCGGAAUUACUGGGCGUAAAGCGCACGCAGGCGGUCUGUCAAGUCGGAUGUGAAAUCCCCGGGCUCAACCUGGGAACUGCAUUCGAAACUGGCAGGCUAGAGUCUUGUAGAGGGGGGUAGAAUUCCAGGUGUAGCGGUGAAAUGCGUAGAGAUCUGGAGGAAUACCGGUGGCGAAGGCGGCCCCCUGGACAAAGACUGACGCUCAGGUGCGAAAGCGUGGGGAGCAAACAGGAUUAGAUACCCGAGUAGUCCCUGUCUCUUAUAC